rnacentral:rRNA from 1 species
AGCAGCCGCGGUAAUUCUAGCUCCAAUAGCGUAUAUUAAAGUUGUUGCAGUUAAAAAGCUCGUAGUUGAAUUUCGGGAUCAAUAUGUUGGUCGUGCCUUGGUACGUACUGGCAUUAUUGGUUUCUACCUUCUGAAGAACCUCGAUGUCAUUAAUUUGGUGUCUUGGGGAAUCAGGACUGUUACUUUGAAAAAUUAGAGUGUUUAAAGCAGGCUCGCGCUUGAAUACAUUAGCAUGGAAUAAUGAAAUAGGACGUUUGAUUCUAUUUUGUUGGUUUCUAGGAUUGACGUAAUGAUUAAUAGGGAUAGUUGGGGGCAUUAGUAUUCAAUUGUCAGAGGUGAAAUUCUUGGAUUUAUUGAAGACUAACUACUGCGAAAGCAUUUGCCAAGGAUGUUUUCAUUAAUCAAGAACGAAAGUUAGGGGAUCGAAGACGGUCAGAUACCGUCGUAGUCUUAACCAUAAACUAUGCCGACUAGGGAUCGGAUGAUGUUAAUUUUUAAUGACUCAUUCGGCGCCUUAACC